UCGUAUGAAUAAAAAUUCUUCGAUAUGCAAAAUGCAAUUUAGUCCAAAAAAUACUAAUACGAUUUCAAAAAUAAUGUGGGGCAUUGCCUUGGGCUCUCGUGUCAAAAGAAUAAUACCAUUUCAUUCAAACCAUUUGCGUCACUACUCGUCAUCACAUUCUCAACUCCCAAACUAUGUUCAUGCCAAUUUACUCAAGAACGGGACUUUUGGGGAGUUAAGUGUCACUAAUUAUGUGCUCAGUCUUUAUAUAAAGUCUAAAGAUUUGGUCUGUGCAGUUCAAAUGUUUGAUGAAAUGCUUGACAGAGAUGUUCGGUCAUGGACAAUGAUCAUUUCAGGUUUGGUGCAAGUUGGUUCGUGUCGAAUGGCAUUGGAUAUGUUUGCUGACAUGCACAAGGAAGGCAUUGUGCCCAAUCAGUUUACGUUUUCCAGUGUUCUCAAGUGUUGUUCGAGGUUGAAUGAGGUUCGAAUGGGGAAGUCGGUUCAUGGGUGGAUAGUGUGUAAUGGGGUUUUCGUAGAUACUGCAUUGGAGAAUUCUGUUUUAGAUUUUUAUGUGAAAUGUGGGUCUUUUGAUUCUGCCAAGUUAUAUAUUGAGUCGAUGACUAAUAAAGACAUUGUAUCAUGGAACAUUAUGAUUAAUGCGUAUAUACAGAUUGGUGAUAUGGAGACUGCCCUUGGUUUGUUCCGAAGGUUGCCUGUUAAGGAUGCUUCAAGUUGGAAUACAAUCAUUAGAGGGCAUCUACAAAAUGACAACUAUGGUAUUGCAAUGGAGCUUCUGUAUGAAAUGGUCAAAAGUGGAACUGCUCUUAGCAAAGAAACUUUCUCCAUAGCCUUUGGUUUAGUAGCUUCGUUAACAGCAUUGGAUUUAGGAAUGCAAAUUCAUGGCCGGCUGCUACGGAGUGGAAUUCAUCAUGAUGGCUUUUUGAGAAACUCACUUGUUGAUUUUUAUUCCAAGUGUGGGGAAAUGGAGAAGGCUUCAUUUGUUUAUCAAGGAUUUCCUAAAUGUAAUGCAAGUGACCGGUGCUCCAAAAAUAAUAACAAGUCACUGCCUCAUUCUUUUUCACAAAGUUCAAUGGUUACUGGUUAUGUUCAAAACGGAAAGUUGCAAGAAGCUUUAAAGAUGUUCACUACAAUGGUCACUGAUAGGUUUGAGGUGGACAAGUUUACACUUACAAGCAUUGUUACCGGUUGUGCUAAUGCUGGUCUUUUGGAGCUUGGCCAGCUGAUUCAUGCUCAGAUCGUGAAAGCCGGUCAACCUUUUGAUAUUUUCUUAAGUUCCUCGAUGAUUGACAUGUAUGCUAAAUGUGGAGAACUAGAUGAUGCUUGGUCAAUAUUUAGAGAAACAAAAGUUCGGAAUACUGUGUUGUGGACUUCAGUUAUAUCUGGUUAUGGCUUACAUGGGCGUGGGAGGGAUGCUAUUCAGAUGUUCAAUUGGAUGUUAGCAGAGGGUAUAAAACCAAAUGAAAUUAGUUUCGUUGGACUCUUAACUGCAUGUAGUCAUGCAGGUUUGUUAAAUGAAGGCAUCCACUAUUUUAUGGUAAUGAAAGAAGAAUUUGGCAUCAAACCUCAAGUUGAACAUUUCACUUGUAUGGUAGAUUUGUUUGGGCGUUCUGGCCGUUUAGACGACAUAAAGGAUUUCAUUUCAAAGAAUAAGAUCUCAAAUGUCGCUUCAGUUUGGAGAUCAUUCUUGUCCUCCUGCCGAAUUCACAGAAAUAUAGAGAUGGCAAAGUGGGUUUCUGACAAACUCUUUGAACUUGAGCCACCAACAGCUGGAUCUUAUAUUUUGUUAUCAAACACGUGUGCUUCUGGUGACAAAUGGGAUGAUGUUGCUCAAGUAAGAGGUUUGAUGAAAGAUAUGGGACUUAUGAAGCACCCUGGUCAAUCUUGGAUCCAGUUGAAAAAUCAAGUCCACAGUUUUGUCAUGGGGGAUAGGUCACAUCCAGAAGAAGCUGCAAUUUAUUCUUACUUGAACGAGCUAAUUCAAAGACUAAAGGAAAUUGGUUAUUUAACUGAAGCGAAUAUUGUGAUGCAAGAUGUUGAAGAAGAACAAAAAGAAUUACUUCUUGCAUUUCACAGCGAGAAAAUUGCUAUAGCUUAUGCCCUCAUGAAAACUAGCACUGGAUCACCUAUUCGAAUUAUGAAAAACCUACGAGUUUGUACCGACUGUCAUAGCUUCAUGAAGUGUACGUCUUUACUUUUAGAAAGAGAAAUUGUUGUUCGAGAUUUACGCCGCUUUCAUCAUUUCAUUUCAAGCACGGUCACUGUUCUUGUGGAGAUUAUUGGUAAGGUGAGGAUGAUCUACAAUGCAUGUGAACUUUUUCAUAAAGUUUCUCAAUAUUUGGAAACUUGUGGAUUUUAUUGUCACCAAUAAAAACAUCUCACCUUGUUCUUGAUCUGAGCUGCUACUCAAUCUAAUGUUUCCGUUAUCUGGUGAGCAUCAUCUGACAUAUACUUUCAUGUCAAUUACAACACCAGACGUCGUUUCCCACUAAAAGGUUAAUUACCAGCAGUCCUCUGUGGCUCCACUUGACAUUUAAUGAGUUUAAAUUUGAUCUUUCUCCAGAGCCACGAUUCGAUUUUGAGAGGUAGUUAGUUGUUAAUGGGAAGUGGACCACUGAUGCCUCUCUAAACCUAUAUCUUACUUGAAGUAUAUCAAGUUCAAUAAUCAAUAAGAGGGAAAAAGAUUUUUAAGUUGUAAACUCUGUAAAUACCUCUCUCGUCUGAUCUUUGCAAGACAAUACUUUCUCAUGCAACCAAAAACUUAUGAGGUUGCUCCGGCAACAAUGUUCAGAGCUUCAGUAGUUGAUCCCGGCUGAGUCCUGAGACUUUUACCACGGGCUGUAAAGAGAAUUGAACUUGUUGCAGGAGAUGGGGAGGAGGAAGCAUUAACCAGAUUUACUUUGCCAAGGCAAAGACGACGAAAGAUAUGUAAUACGUGCCUACCUAUUCUAUAGUCACUUGAAAGUUGAAAUCAUGAGUUGUUGUGGAAGCAUAAUAUAUGACAUACAGGCUAGUUUGCCAGCAGGCAUUAGUCGAAGUUGGAAGUUGGUUAUACACCAGAUUCACAAACUCAUCAAGAAAAAUUAUGUGUAUGAAUACACUCUGAUUGUAGGAGAGGGAAUGAUGGACCAGAUUGACAAAUUAUCCUACAAGGUUGAUGUUUGAGGCUUAAUUUUGUGGUGGCACCAUCUUUAAGAAGACGGACCAAAGUGUAUGCUAACUUGCUAAGGAUAAUGUUGAGCUCAAUGAAAAGGAAAUAUAUACUGUGAAUGUGUGAGAUUAUGGAAGCCUGUGUGUAGUUAUCUUAACUCAAAUAUUCCUUUUCAGAUAUAUAAUUGAAUAUACUAGUAAAUUUGAGAGUUGAGACUUGCAUAUAAAGAAGCAUUGAAUUCAACUCUCAAAAGAAACCUAGUAAAUUCAAUAUGUAAUCUUGCAGUUCUAAAGUGGUUGAUCAUUAGUCUCUCUUGUUUUAGAGUUCGUACAUCAAGCUUUUAGAAAAUAUCACUUUGUAAAUUUAUUAUGUAAAGACAAACUUCCAAGAAAAACUAUGCAUUCUU